ACACCGUUGGUGAAGUGGUUAUCAUGCUUGCCUUCCAUCCCAAUCCAAGUAGUAGGAGUAGCAAGCGGCUCGGGUUCGAUUCCCGAACGGUGUA